GACGAACGCUGGCGGCGUGCCUAAUACAUGCAAGUUGAGCGCUGAAGGUUGGUGCUUGUACCAACUGGAUGAGCAGCGAACGGGUGAGUAACGCGUGGGGAAUCUGCCUUUGAUCGGGGGACAACAAUUGGAAACGACUGCUAAUACCGCAUAAAAACUUUAAACACAAGUUGUAAGUUUGAAAGAUGCAAUUGCAUCACUCAAAGAUGAUCCCGCGUUGUAUUAGCUAGUUGGCGAGGUAAAGGCUCACCAAGGCGAAGAUACAUAGCCGACCUGAGAGGGUGGUCGGCCACAUUGGGACUGAGACACGGCCCAAACUCCUACGGGAGGCAGCAGUAGGGAAUCUUCGGCAAUGGACGAAAGGCUGACCGAGCAACGCCGCGUGAGUGAAGAAGGGUUUCGGAUCGUAAAACUCUGUUGGUAGAGAAGAACGUUGGUGAGAGUGGAAAGCUCAUCAAGUGACGGUAACUACCCAGAAAGGGACGGCUAACUACGUG
rnacentral:rRNA from 1 species